CUAUACAUGACUCUGCGCAUAUCAAUAAGCGGAGGAAAAGAAACUAACAAGGAUUCCCCUUAGUAACGGCGAGUGAAGCGGGAAGAGCUCAAAUUUGAAAUCUUCAAGGGUUCUACCUUUACGAAUUGUAGUUUAUAGAAGUGUUUUCUGUUAGUAGAGUCGGCUAAAAGUUCUUUGGAAUAGGACAUCAUAGAGGGUGAGAAUCCCGUAUUUGUACAGUUACUUUCUAGCUUUGUGAUACACUUUCAACGAGUCGGAUUGUUUGGGAAUGCAGUCCAAAAUGGGUGGUAAAUUUCAUCUAAAGCUAAAUAUUGGCGAGAGACCGAUAGCGAACAAGUACCGUGAGGGAAAGAUGAAAAGAACUUUGAAAAGAGAGUUAAACAGUACGUGAAAUUGUCAAAAGGGAAGCGUUUGACACCAGUGUUGUUUUUUCCGAAAAUCAAUUACGAAUGUUUUGUUUUUAAGGAGUUAUGACUUCAUCGGCUUGCUUCUUUCUUUAUGAAACUUUCUUAAUGCACUUUUCGGUUAACAAGUCAACAUCAAUUUCUUUUGUUGUAAAAGGGUAUGAGGAAGGUGGCUUUCUUUUCGGAGAAAGUGUUUAUAGCCUUGUACCUCUGCAAUCGGAGAGAUUGAGGUCUGCAGCGUAGAUCCUUCGGGGUUAGAUACAUUUGUGCUAAGUUAUAGCUUUUCAUAGACAACUUGUUGACUAUGUUUAGUCUUGCGACUUACUCGCUUACGCUAUUUUACCUACGCUUAGGAUGUUGAUAUGCAUGACUGAUAU
rnacentral:rRNA from 1 species